rnacentral:rRNA from 1 species
CAUGCAGUCGACGGCAGCACAGGAGAGCUUGCUCUCUGGGUGGCGAGUGGCGGACGGGUGAGGAAUACAUCGGAAUCUACUUUUUCGUGGGGGAUAACGUAGGGAAACUUACGCUAAUACCGCAUACGACCUACGGGUGAAAGCAGGGGACCUUCGGGCCUUGCGCGAUUGAAUGAGCCGAUGUCGGAUUAGCUAGUUGGCGGGGUAAAGGCCCACCAAGGCGACGAUCCGUAGCUGGUCUGAGAGGAUGAUCAGCCACACUGGAACUGAGACACGGUCCAGACUCCUACGGGAGGCAGCAGUGGGGAAUAUUGGACAAUGGGCGCAAGCCUGAUCCAGCCAUACCGCGUGGGUGAAGAAGGCCUUCGGGUUGUAAAGCCCUUUUGUUGGGAAAGAAAUCCAGCCGGCUAAUACCUGGUUGGGAUGACGGUACCCAAAGAAUAAGCACCGGCUAACUUCGUGCCAGCAGCCGCGGUAAUACGAAGGGUGCAAGCGUUACUCGGAAUUACUG